rnacentral:lncRNA from 1 species
GCAGGGGAAGACACCAUUCUCUCUACCACAGUUUUGCCCCCCUACUUUGUCUCCUACCGUAUCCAAAGCUUGCAAAUAUUUCAAGUCUACAAUAAAAGCUUAUUUAAAAAGUAAAUACCAUAAAGUGUUAGCAAGCACAUUAUGUAUACCCCUGGCCUACUGUAGUAGAAGGUAGUUCUUGAAAAGGGAACACAAAACACAAGAAUAACCUAUGAUAGUACUGCAGGACUGGGGGCCAUCAGCAAAGAACACACUUUUUAGGAAGCUCUGUUGCUCUCCAAAUCAUAAUUCUGACCCCACAUCUAUGGAAAUGGCUCUGACACGGACAAAGGAUCUAACAUCUUUCUGGGCUACAAGAUCACCUCUGCUUCAGGCUGGAAUGCUCUUCUCCAGAGAAUCCAGGAACUGACAUAUGUAAACACCCACCCAGAAGGACAUAUCCAAGAGGGAAUGGAAAGAAAAAUGAUGGUCCAGAUGUUCUGUAACUUGCAAUGACUGCCAAAUCACCGUGGACCCAAAGCACCUGGGAGGCCAGGCUGUGUCAGGCCUUACUUCCUGGUUUCAGACAGCCAGGGUCCUGUGGCUAGGUGGUGACUGUGACAGCCUGCAGACUAGAUGGGAGAGAACCCGUUAGAAGGGCACCAGCUGACAGGACUUGGGGGCUGAACACACAGAGCUUGAUUUAUCACUUCCUUACUCAUAAAAAUGUGAUUCAAAGUGCU